GUCGUACGCACUGGCCCACUGAUUGAUGGUGCUUGCACCUGAUUAACGAUGGAUCACCAGUGAGUGGCGGACGGGUGAGUAACACGUAGGUAACCUGCCCCGGAGCGGGGGAUAACAUUUGGAAACAGAUGCUAAUACCGCAUAACAACGAAAGCCACAUGGCUUUUGUUUGAAAGAUGGCUUUGGCUAUCACUCUGGGAUGGACCUGCGGUGCAUUAGCUAGUUGGUAAGGUAACGGCUUACCAAGGCGAUGAUGCAUAGCCGAGUUGAGAGACUGAUCGGCCACAAUGGAACUGAGACACGGUCCAUACUCCUACGGGAGGCAGCAGUAGGGAAUCUUCCACAAUGGGCGCAAGCCUGAUGGAGCAACACCGCGUGAGUGAAGAAGGGUUUCGGCUCGUAAAGCUCUGUUGUUGGAGAAGAACGUGCGUGAGAGUAACUGUUCACGCAGUGACGGUAUCCAACCAGAAAGUCACGGCUAACUACGUGCCAGCAGCCGCGGUAAUACGUAGGUGGCAAGCGUUAUCCGGAUUUAUUGGGCGUAAAGCGAGCGCAGGCGGUUGCUUAGGUCUGAUGUGAAAGCCUUCGGCUUAACCGAAGAAGUGCAUCGGAAACCGGGCGACUUGAGUGCAGAAGAGGACAGUGGAACUCCAUGUGUAGCGGUGGAAUGCGUAGAUAUAUGGAAGAACACCAGUGGCGAAGGCGGCUGUCUGGUCUGCAACUGACGCUGAGGCUCGAAAGCAUGGGUAGCGAACAGGAUUAGAUACCCUGGUAGUCCAUGCCGUA
rnacentral:rRNA from 1 species